ACCCGAAAAAGUUACUUUAAUGGUUGGAAAUCAUAGUUAAGCUCCAAAAGAUUCAAUGUAGUUUGGACAAAACAUAAGUUGCUUGAUAAAAAUAAACAAACUGGGCCUAGACUUAGGCCGUGCCGUGGCUGUGUAAUCUGCAACCUAAUAAAGUAGUUAGUGUUGAUAGUUUGGAUUCAGAUAUGAUACUAGUGUUUGUAUGAGGUGUAAAGUUAAUCUAUAUAUAUAAAAUUAACUUUACUCAUUCCUGAUGCUGCCACAUCAGCCACUCCCUCUAUUUAAUAAGACCAAAUUUUUGACACAACCCACUAAGCAAUUCUUUUUUUUUUUGUGUUUCAUAUUUCUUUAAAAGCCCAAUUUCAUAUUUCUGUAAAAGCUCAAUCCAAUAAUAAUACAUGUUUUAUAUGAUGUUGAAAUAAAACCUUUCUCCAGGAAGCUCCACUCCGCUGUCCGCUGUUGUGCGACCUGAAGCGUCCCUCAACAAUCCUCCACACCCUUUCGUUGUCUUUCCUGACUUCCAUCUCCAUCGUAACGUCUUCUUCUAAAACGAAAAGAGGAAGGCUGAAGCUAGAGGAUCUGGGUGAAAUACUCUCACUAAAUUUGGGUAUGUCUCUUUCUUAAUUAGAUUUUUGUUCGGUUCUUUACUUCUUUUAAAUCAGAUGUAUGUAUGUUUGUUUAUGUAUCAAUGUAUGAUUUAAGUAUCCCUCCUCAUAACACAUGUGUCGACGCUGUCAUACAUGGUUUGUAUAUAGUUUUGGUCUCCUACCAGAACAUAUCUGCUUUACCGUUAUAGCUCAAGUCGGGGCAACUUAUUUCAUAGUUGGUGGUUUUGUUGGUUCGCUCAGUAUAUAUUCUAUGUUGAGGCUCUAAGUAACAACUCAAAUGAGUAAUUGGCCUGCUUUUUAUAAUAAAAGUAUACUACAUCGUCCUAGGUAGCUUUUUGGGUCUUUAAAUAAUAGGUCUUCCAGUUUUUCUGUUAUGAUCUGUUAUCAAACUUCAAGCUACAUGAAUCCAUAAACAUUCAUAGCUAGAUCAGCUAUUUGUUUCCAUGUUGAACUAGAGAUUAUUUUACUCUAUGGUUAUCUCUAUGUAGAAUUUAGUUCUCCAAAGAAUACUAAAAUCGAGAUGAUAUUAUAUAUCUCGGUAUUUGAUUUUGUUUAAUUUCCAUGUACAUUAUGGUAUACAGUAGAAAGAGUUAAGAACUAUGUUAUAUCAUUUGUAUUAGUUUGGUUUUCAUUGCCUCAUUUAUAUGUUUAGACACAUCACAUAACUUUAAGAUGGGACGAAACAAUUGGCAUACGUGCAGGUUAUUCAAUGAACAUGAUCAUAUGAAUAUCAAGCUCAAGUGAAUCCUCAUGGUUUAUGGGUCGUGGUGUAAUCGAGCCUAUGCCAGGAAAGCUCAGAGUUCAUGUCAUCCAAUCAACGUUCUCAAUUAUGUAAAUUUCAUAGUUCUCUUGCCCUUUUCAUAUGACUUUCUUUAAUCCAGAAAGAAAUGAAGUGUUUCCUAAAGAAUUUUAAGUACAAGGGUCAAAAGUAAUUCAUGACCGAGAAGCGAGUCAUGUAAAGAUGGAAUUGUCUUCAUCCUUUUUAAGAAAGAUCAGGACUGGGAAGCGAGUAAAAUCACCAUUAGAUAGAUGGGCAUAUUGAAGGUUCAUGAGUUUCUUAUUUUGUUAUAUUUUCCAUAAGACAUAGUUUAAACCCCUUAAGAAAUAAGUUGGGUUCAAUAUUUAUAAGUUGUUCUUA